UACUUUGACUUUAAACCAGAACCAAAGAAAUCGCAAUUUCGAUGGUUGUCAGACCUAGAAGUAGUAAAAAAAGAGAACAGCCCUCGUCCUUCAAGUGAAAAAACUGACAAUGAAUGUGAAACAAGAGCAAAAGAGGUCAAAUUCCAAGGCAAACAAAACUUUUUACAUAACAAAGAUAUGUAAUAAAUGCAUUUAGAUGACGAAGUUUUAUCCUUUCGUAGAAAAAGGUUAGGACAGAGCAUUGAAAUUAUAAAGAUAGGUAAAGUUCUUCGUUUUUAUUCGUCCUGUAUAUUUGCCUAGUACAUUUGACAAACGGACAAAU